rfam:Rhodanobacter sp. SCN 69-32 ABT17_C0003, whole genome shotgun sequence.
CCCGGUGUUCAGCCACCGGUAGCCUAGGAGCAGUGCGGAACUGGUAACGGUUCCGUGCCAAGCGCUCUGACAAUGUAGCCACCCUCACGGGUACGCUGGUCCCGCGAGGGGCCUGCGUGACCUCGGAAGAUGCAUCCGAGUAGGCGC